UCUGUUUGUGUCUGUUUUCAGAUAUGAGUCUGGAUAGCAGACUCAUAUCUGUGAGCAUUUACAACCACCUUUGAUA
rnacentral:pre_miRNA from 1 species